rnacentral:rRNA from 1 species
UUGCCCCAGUAACGGCGAGUGAAGCGGCAACAGCUCAAAUUUGAAAUCUGGCCCCCAGGGCCCGAGUUGUAAUUUGCAGAGGAUGCUUUUGGCGACGCGCCUUCCGAGUUCCCUGGAACGGGACGCCAUAGAGGGUGAGAGCCCCGUCUGGUCGGACGCCGAGCCUCUGUAAAGCUCCUUCGACGAGUCGAGUAGUUUGGGAAUGCUGCUCUAAAUGGGAGGUAUAUGUCUUCUAAAGCUAAAUACCGGCCAGAGACCGAUAGCGCACAAGUAGAGUGAUCGAAAGAUGAAAAGCACUUUGAAAAGAGGGUUAAAUAGUACGUGAAAUUGUUGAAAGGGAAGCGCUCACGACCAGACUUGAGCCCGGUGAAUCACCCAGCGUUCUCGCUGGUGCACUUCGCCGGGCCCAGGCCAGCAUCGGUUCGCCGCGGGGGAGAAAGGCGUCGGGAACGUGGCUCCCUCGGGAGUGUUAUAGCCCGUCGCACAAUACCCUGGGGCGGACCGAGGUUCGCGCAUCUGCAAGGAUGCUGGCGUAAUGGUCGUCAGCGACCCGUCUUGAAACACGGACCAAGGAGUCGUCUUCGUAUGCGAGUGUUCGGGUGUAAAACCCCUACGCGUAAUGAAAGUGAACGCAGGUGAGAGCUUCGGCGCAUCAUCGACCGAUCCUGAUGUUCUCGGAUGGAUUUGAGUAAGAGCAUACGGGGCCGGACCCGAAAGAAGGUGAACUAUGCCUGUGUAGGGUGAAGCCAGAGGAAACUCUGGUGGAGGCUCGCAGCGGUUCUGACGUGCAAAUCGAUCGUCAAACAUGGGCAUGGGGGCGAAAGACUAAUCGA